UAGAUGUAUUUUCUGAUCUACUCUGUAAAAGAAAUUGAUUGCUCAGAUCAAAAUGAGUAAGCCCGGCCUUUAGUAGUCAAGAGUUUCGAGCCCAAACAGAAAGAAACAAAUGAUCAGAUUGUAUCGCAAGUUAACCACAGGCCCAAGAAGAAGCUUGUGUCAUGGAGGGCUUCCCAGGAUGGUUACAGACUCCUGUCUUCUGGGAAGAAGACCCAGUCAUUGGUAGUGAGUGGUAUGUGGGAAGUCAGUCUUUGUAAGGUUCCAGAUGCUACCAUGAUGCCAACCAGACUUCCCUGGACAGACAACCCCACCAAUGUGUCCUGGAGCUCUGCUUGCCCAGAGCCCUUCUCCACUAGGGAAAGAGAGAGACAGGUUGGGAGUAUGGAUCGACCUGUCAACACCUUUGUUCAGCGGGGAAGCAAUUACAGAAGCCAGACCUUCAACCUUCUGCAUCCCACAAUGGCCUUGGGUCCACACCUCCAGAGGGUUAAAGAAUAGGAAAGCUAUCAGGGGAGGAGAUGGGGAGGAGAUGGGAUACACAGUUCUGGUGGUGAGAAUUGUGCGAAGCU